GAACGUUUUAGAGCUAUGUACCCGAAAUCAUCACGCCCUGUGACACACCCCGUGACACAUGAGGACAAGCUCUGUACCCCUCCUCUCCCUGCAGUGGGAGCUGUUAGCUCCGGCAAGCCUCCUGCCACCAGGGUCCAUGCUGCCCUUCCCAUGUUCCACAAGUUUAGAAACUUUCACUUUGACUAAAAUUACAGGACUUUUCUGCCCACUGUGAAAAGAUGACUUUGCUGAAAAUCACGGGUCGCUUGAACCUAUGAAGAACAGCUUUGCAACCUGUUGUAAGCUGCCUCUGUGGGACAACAGAAUGGCAGCUCAUAGCUUUGUGUAGAAGCCUUUCCCACAAUGUCACGGUCGUAGGGAGCCCACUGCUGCUUUCCACCG